GAAAAGAUACGUCCAUCAAACACGUUUGUAUCUCUGUGGGGGGCUUUUUCUGAGGUUUCUCCUGUUACCACCAGAGAUGGGAGCUACUCUCUGCCACACAGCUUGCCAUCCAGGUGUAUGACAGGCUGAAAAGCUCAAGAAGAGAAACAUGAAAUGCGAUUUUCCUCAAGUGCCUUUUGAAGGUCUGCUCACCCCUUCCCUGAGUAUCCUGAACAUGCCAGGGAAUGGCUGCUCUGCUCUAAAGACAGAGACUCUCAGGGAGAGAUGAGCUGAAGAUUGAGAAGGCUCUGUCAGAGGCACAACCAGAUUCAUCUUCAUCUCACACCACUGUGGUUGAUGGCUGGGCUCCUGUACUUCCCCCACUGAGACCAAGCUGGUCUUAAAGACUCGCCAGAAAGCUAGAUGAGCCCCAAGUGAAGGAGACAAGAGAUUCAUUCCAUCUUUGUGCUGGCUGGAGGCUGAAGAAAGCAGAGGCAGAGGCUGAAGGACAGAACUUUUGGAUUUGUAGACAUUCGGAGGGAACUCUUGGAACCAAGCAGAGAGAUAGGCCUCUCAACAAAGCAGGCUAUUUUGAAGACAAUAAAAGAUCUGAACUUUUACCACCUAGCUGAGUUUUGGGUGAUUAUUUACUCUUAAUUGAAACUAAGGCUGCCUCCAGAAAACCUCCCUGAGAAACCUGCUCUCUCACCCAGAGAGAAUGAUUAUUAUUAUAAAAAAGAAAAACACAACACUCUCAUUCCCCUCAUAACCAACUAUUUAAUUCAGCCUCUAAAAUAGCUCUUCACAGCUUAAAUUCUUGAA